UGCUGCUCAGCAACUUCACCCACAGCAACCAUGACUUUGAUCAGCGUCUUCAUCUGCACACUGGCCCUCUGGACUCAAGGAUCCAGAGGUCAGGGGACUGUGACUCAGACUCCUUCACAGCAAACUAUUGUUCCAGGAAACACAGUCACCAUCAACUGUAGGUUCAGUAGCAGUGUGGAUAGUGGUACCAGUGUACACUGGUACCUGCAGAAACCUGGAGAAGCUCCUAAACUCCUGAUCUAUGAUACUAACAAUUUACACUCAGGAACUCCAGCUCGUUUCAGAGGCAGUGGAUCUAAUACUGACUUCACUCUGACCAUCAGUGGAGUCCAGCCUGAAGAUGCAGGAGAUUACUACUGUCAUUGUUUACAUUAUAUUACUGGGUUCUGGAGUGAUAGCUGGGUGUCACACAGUGUUAUAACAUCGUACAAAAACCUCAGUCAGUGA